rnacentral:rRNA from 1 species
CCUACGGGAGGCAGCAGUGAGGAAUAUUGGUCAAUGGGCGGAAGCCUGAACCAGCCAAGUCGCGUGAGGGAAUAAGGCCCUACGGGUCGUAAACCUCUUUUGCCGGGGAGCAAGGGCGGGGACGUGUCCCGGCCCGGAGAGUACCCGGAGAAAAAGCAUCGGCUAACUCCGUGCCAGAAGCCGCGGUAAUACGGAGGAUGCGAGCGUUAUCCGGAUUUAUGGGGUUUAAAGGGUGCGUAGGCGGGCUUUUAAGUCAGCGGUAAAAAUUCGGGGCUCAACCCCGUCCGGCCGUUGAAACUGGGGGCCUUGAGUGGGCGAGAAGAAGGCGGAAUGCGUGGUGUAGCGGUGAAAUGCAUAGAUAUCACGCAGAACCCCGAGUGCGAAGGCAGCCCUCCGGCGCCCUACUGACGCUGAGGCACGAAAGUGCGGGGAUCGAACAGGAUUAGAUACCCGGGUAGUC